GAAAUGCGAUAAGUAAUGUGAAUUGCAGAAUUCAGUGAAUCAUCGAAUCUUUGAACGCACAUUGCGCCCGCCAGUAUUCUGGCGGGCAUGCCUGUUCGAGCGUCAUUUCAACCAUCAAGCCCCCGGCUUGUGUUGGGGACCUGCGGCUGCCCGCAGGCCCUGAAAAACAGUGGCGGGCUCGCUGUCACACCGAGCGUAGUAGCAUACAUUCUCGCUCAGGGCGUGCUGCGGGUUCCGGCCGUUAAACGACCUUCAUAACCCAAGGUUGACCUCGGAUCAGGUAAGAAAAACCGCUGAACUCACGC
rnacentral:misc_RNA from 1 species